rnacentral:ncRNA from 2 species
AUCUUAUCGCGAGAGGUGGAGGGACUGGCCCUGUGAAGCCCGGCAACCCCAGCAGCAGCUGGAAGGUGCCAAUUCCUGCAGGAUAACUCCUGGGAGAUAAGAA